AGCUGGUUUCUCAAGAAAAGAAUUUUAGUUCAACCUAAAGUAAAUAAUAUACAUUAAAAUUAUCUUAUACUUUAGAGUAAUUCAAAUAAGGUACAGCCUAUUUGAUAAGGGAUACAACCCCUACUAAUGGGUACAAUACUUAAAUCAUACCUUAAAGUAGGCCUAAGAGCAGCCAUCUUUUAAAAAGCGUCAAAGCUUAAUAAUAUGAUCACCAAUUUCUAAAUUUAAAUUCACCCCUUUUUUACUACUGAGAACUUCUAUAAUAUUAUAGAAAUUUUUAUGCUAAAACUAGUAACAAGAGGUAAUCCCUCUCUAUAAUGUAAACAUAAACCAGAAUGAACAAAUCACUGGUAAUUAACAAACUUAAUUAAAAGUAAUAACUCAUCUAGAAAACAUUACUUCACUUAUUGUUAACCUAACACAAGAACAUCCCAAGAAAGAUUAAAAGAAAAAGAAGGAACUCGGCAAAUAUUAACCCCGCCUGUUUACCAAAAACAUCACCUCUUGCUUUUAUAAGAGGCCAUGCCUGCCCAGUGACUCAUGUUUAACGGCCGCGGUAUCCUAACCGUGCAAAGGUAGCGUAAUCACUUGUCUUUUAAAUAAAGACUUGUAUGAAAGGCUUCACGAGAGUUGUACUGUCUCCUUUUUCUAAUCAGUAAACCUAAUCCCCCCGUG
rnacentral:rRNA from 1 species